CAGCAGCCGCGGUAAUACGUAGGGUGCGAGCGUUAAUCGGAUUUACUGGGCGUAAAGCGUGCGUAGGCGGCUUCUUAAGUCGGAUGUGAAAUCCCUGAGCUUAACUUAGGAAUUGCAUUCGAUACUGGGAAGCUAGAGUAUGGGAGAGGAUGGUAGAAUUCCAGGUGUAGCGGUGAAAUGCGUAGAGAUCUGGAGGAAUACCGAUGGCGAAGGCAGCCAUCUGGCCUAAUACUGACGCUGAGGUACGAAAGCAUGGGGAGCAAACAGGAUUAGAUACCCGAGUAGUCCCUGUCUCUUAUAC
rnacentral:rRNA from 1 species